UACGGAGGGUGCAAGCGUUGUUCGGAUUUACUGGGCGUAAAGCGCACGUAGGCGGAUCGAUCAGUCAGGGGUGAAAUCCCAGGGCUCAACCCUGGAACUGCCUUUGAUACUGUCGAUCUGGAGUAUGGAAGAGGUGAGUGGAAUUCCGAGUGUAGAGGUGAAAUUCGUAGAUAUUCGGAGGAACACCAGUGGCGAAGGCGGCUCACUGGUCCAUUACUGACGCUGAGGUGCGAAAGCGUGGGGAGCAAACAGG
rnacentral:rRNA from 1 species